CCUACGGGAGGCAGCAGUGAGGAAUAUUGGACAAUGGGCGCGAGCCUGAACCAGCGACGUAGCGUGAAGGAUGAAUGCCCUACGGGUUGUAAACUUCUUUUAUAAAGGAAUAAAGUUAGACUCGUGUGCCUUUUUGUAUGUAUUUUAUGAAUAAGGAUCGGCUAACUCCGUUCCAGCACCCGCGGUAAUACGGAGGAUCCGACCGUUAUACGGAUUUAUUGGGUUUAUAGGGAGCGUAGAUGGGUGUUUAAGUUAGUUGUGAAAGUUUGCGGCUCAACCGUACAAUUGCAAUUGAUACUGGCAGCCUUGAGUACAGUUGAGGUAGGCGGAAUUCGUGGUGUAGCGGUGAAAUGCUUAGAUAUCACGAAGAACUACGAUUGCGAAGGCAGCCUACUAAACUGCCACUGACAUUGAUGCUCGAAAGUGUGGGUAUCAAACAGGAUUAGAUACCCCUGGUAGUC
rnacentral:rRNA from 1 species